UUGAUCUACCUCUGAUGAAACCUGUGUUGGUGGGGACAUCUGAGAGUGUUGAUGAAUGCCAGUGACUCUGAUAGAAAAAA
rnacentral:snoRNA from 10 species